UGGUAUAGACAUUAAACCUAAAUGUGAAAUAAUGGAAAAAUAUAAUACAUAGUUUCUAACAAAAUAAAAUGCAUUUGUAUACCUUUCUCGCUCAAAAUGUAAUACUCCCUCCAUUUUUUAAUAUAAGUCGUUUUACAGCUAUGCACGUAGAUUAAGAAAACCAUUAAUUUCUUAUAUUUUCUAAACAAAAACAUCAUUAAUUAUUUACCUAACCACAAUUCAACCAAUAGAAAAAUAUAAGAUAUUACCAUUGGUCAUACAACAUUAAUUAUUAAUAAAUUUUACAUAGAAAACCGAAAACGACAUAUAAUUUGGCACAAAAAAAUUUCUAUAAAACGACUUAUAAUAAAAAACGGAGGGAGUAUUGUAUUGGGUUGUUGUUGUUUUUUUCUUUCUCUUUUUUGUUGUAAUAAGUUGCUUGCAUUGUAAACUUUUGAAAAAGAAAAUGGUACUAAAAUUUUAACAUUUUACCAAGAAAAAUGUAAUACUGUCUCUAUGCCAUAAAGAGAUUUGAAAAAGAGGAUUUAAAGGAAUGCUUAUAGAAUAAGUGUCUAGUCUCUUGCCCGCAAGAAAGACCAAGAAAAAAGGAAAUUCAUGAGUGUGGGACUCUCCUAACUGCUUCCUUCCUUGGACCAUAUGGUCCCACAGUCCAUGCCAUUACAAAUAAAUCAUAACUAAACCAACUUUUUCACCAUACUUUGUUUCCACGUGUCUUGUGUUAGCUGAGAUUAGAUUUAUUUAUAUGAAGCCAUUAGGUGUAAGUUUUAAAUGUUGGCCUAAAAGAUUAGGUAUAAAAAAAUUCUUAAUCAUCCUAUAUAGGUACGUAUAAUUGUUUUAAGAACUUUUACUGUCACUUACAUGUUACUAACUUUAGCUGGAUUUCAAAUGUCA
rnacentral:lncRNA from 1 species